ACAGCAGCCGCCGCGGGAAUACAGAGGGUGCGAGCGUUAAUCGGAUUUACUGGGCGUAAAGCGUGCGUAGGCGGCUUUUUAAGUCGGAUGUGAAAUCCCUGAGCUUAACUUAGGAAUUGCAUUCGAUACUGGGAAGCUAGAGUAUGGGAGAGGAUGGUAGAAUUCCAGGUGUAGCGGUGAAAUGCGUAGAGAUCUGGAGGAAUACCGAUGGCGAAGGCAGCCAUCUGGCCUAAUACUGACGCUGAGGUACGAAAGCAUGGGGAGCAAACAGGAUUAGAUACCCCGGUAGUCCCUGUCUCUAUACC
rnacentral:rRNA from 1 species